CGAUAGCGCGGUCACAUGAAUAGAACCAGUCAGUUUAAAUUGUGCUUUCGACGCGAACAGACGUUAGUAGUUAUAAUAUCAAUACGCUAUCUUAUUGUAAAUCUUUGUAAAUAACUUUCUGUGUUAAAGUGUAAUGAUUUUAAAAUAAAAUGGAACGUGGGAAGAAGUUAACUCCAGAAGAUAUUAUAAGAAUUGGAACAUUAAAAGAAGAACAUUAUCCAUUGCGUGAAAUAGCUCGACGAAUGGGUAGAUCGCAUCAUGUGAUCAUGAAGUAUUUAGAAGAUCCAGAAAAUUAUGGUAAGCGAUAUAAAGGAAGAACAAAACGAGCCACAACAGAAAAAGAAAGACGGCGCAUACUUCGUGACGUGAAGCAUCUAAUUCUUCUCUAACUGCUCGUCAAAUAGCACAAAAGGUGGGCACGCAAGCAUCUGUCCGUACAGUGCGACGGAUCAUAAACAAGUGCUCGUUAGUGAAACGUCUGAAAAUUAAGAAACGACCUGCUUUAAAUCACCGACAUUAUUCCUUGCGUUUAGAAUUUGCACGACAGCAUAUGACAUGGAAAUUAGAAUGGUACAAAGUAAUAUUUACUGGCGAAAAGAAGUUUAAUUUGGAUGGUCCAGAUGGCUAUGCAUAUUAUUUUCAUGAUAUUCGGAAAGAAGAAAGGUAUUUGUCCAGACGACACAGCGCUUUAGGAAGUAUAAUGGUGUGGGGUGCUAUCUGUAGUGAGGGUGUGCUGGACCUAGUUUUGCUUGAAGCAUGAUAAUGCACCUAUUCACACGGCGAAGCCUGUGAAAAAAUGGUUCGUGGAUAAUAAUAUCGAAAUUCUUGAGUGGCCUUCCGUAUCACCCGAUCUUAAUAUUAUGGAAAAUGUAUGGGGAUGGCUAACGAGAAAAUUGUACGCAGAUGGAACACAAUUUGACAAUAAAGAAGCUCUGAGAUCGGCUUUAAUAAAAGAGUGGUCGGCGAUACCUCGACACUACCUUCAGUCGUUGUAUGAUUCAAUGCCCAGUCGACUUUUUGAAGUAAUUAGAAAUAAUGGAAAAAAUACUAAAUAUUAAUACACUUUUCAUAAUUG